GAGUUUGAUCUGGGCUCAGAACGACGGCUGGGCGGCGCGUUUUAAGCAUGCAAGUCGAGCGGCAGGGGGCCUCGGUCCCCCGAGAGCGGCGGACGGGUGAGUAACACGUGGACAACCUGCCCCCCGGUUCGGGAUAGCCCAGGGAAACCUGGAUCAAUACCGGAUGCGAGGGCGGCCGCACAAGCGGCCGUCGGGAAAGGCGCUUCGGCGCCGCCGGGGGAUGGGUCCGCGUCCCAUUAGCUAGACGGUGGGGUAACGGCCCACCGUGGCGAUGAUGGGUAGCCGGCCUGAGAGGGUGGACGGCCACAUUGGAACUGAGACACGGUCCAGACUCCUACGGGAGGCAGCAGCUAAGAAUCUUCCGCAAUGGGCGAAAGCCUGACGGAGCGACGCCGCGUGAACGAAGAAGGCCGUGAGGUUGUAAAGUUCUUUUCGGGAGGGGGAACGAGGCCGCCAGGCAAUGGGCGGCCGAUGACGUGAAUCCCGGAAUAAGCCCCGGCUAACUACGUGCUAGCAGCCGCGGUAACACGUAGGGGGCGAGCGUUGUUCGGAAUCAUUGGGCGUAAAGGGCGUGCAGGCGGCCGCCAAAGUCCGGCGUGAAAGACCCAGGCUCAACCUGGGGGGUGCGCCGGAUACUGGGCGGCUUGAGUACAGGAGGGGACGGCGGAAUUCCAGGUGUAGGGGUGAAAUCUGUAGAUAUCUGGAGGAACACCGAUGGCGAAGGCAGCCGUCUGGCCAUGUACUGACGCUGAGGCGCGAAGGUGCGGGGAAAAGACAGGUUUAGAUACCCUGGUAGUCCGCACA
rnacentral:rRNA from 1 species